rnacentral:misc_RNA from 1 species
UUCAAACUCAGUAUACGAUUAUCGAAAGCAUCUUAUUUGUAUCAACUCUUCAUAAUGAUAAAAAUUAGAGAAGACAAGGGUGAAGUGGAAGCACAAGCAAUGGCUAACUGCUUAAUGCUUUUAUCAUCCAUAGAUCGAGAUCGUCGUAAUUCAUUUGAAUGUAAAACCUGCAAAAGACGCUUCUCAUCUUUCCAAGCGCUUGGUGGCCAUCGAACGAGUCAUAAAUCAACGAUUGAUAUCGGAAAAUUUCUUCACGGUAAAAUAUCCAAAAAACGCAAGGUACAUGAAUGUUUAAUUUGUGGAAUGGAGUUUUCUAUGGGUCAGGCUUUAGGUGGACAUAUGAGGCGUCACCGUGCCCCAGUAAAUGAAAUUGAACAUUCGGCCAAAAGGAUACCAGUUUUGAAGAAAUCGAAUAGCAACGAGAGAAUAUUUUGCGUGGAUCUUAAUUUAACUCCUGAUGAGAAUGAUGACUUUCACUUUUGGCCUAUGCCACCUGUACCUCCAUUCUUAUCCUCUUAGGACUUGGCUAGAACUAUAAAUAUCAUUCAUUUUAAUUCUUGUGGGUAGAUUCACAAAUUUUGUUAUCUAUUUACCUUAAUUGAUCGGAUUUCUUUAUUGAUGAGUAUAUUUAUUCACAAUAAAUUUUAUUACAUGCAUGUUCG